rnacentral:rRNA from 1 species
CGGACGGGUGAGUAAUGUCUGGGAAACUGCCUGAUGGAGAGGGAUAACUACUGGAAACGGUAGUUAAUACCGCAUAACGUCGCAAGACCAAAGAGGGGGACCUUCGGGCCUCUUGCCAUCGGAUGUGCCCAGAUGGGAUUAGCUAGUAGGUGGGGUAACGGCUCACCUAGGCGACGAUCCCUAGCUGGUCUGAGAGGAUGACCAGCCACACUGGAACUGAGACACGGUCCAG